AGUGGCGGACGGGCGAGUAACGCGUGAGCAACCUGCCUUGUACUGGGGGAUAACGUCGGGAAACCGGCGCUAAUACCGCAUAACACUACGAAAUCGCAUGGUUUUGUAGUCAAAGCUCCGGCGGUACAAGAUGGGCUCGCGUCCGAUUAGCUAGUUGGUAGGGUAACGGCCUACCAAGGCGACGAUCGGUAGCCGAACUGAGAGGUUGAUCGGCCGCAUUGGGACUGAGACACGGCCCAGACUCCUACGGGAGGCAGCAGUGGGGAAUAUUGCGCAAUGGGGGCAACCCUGACGCAGCAACGCCGCGUGAAGGAAGAAGGCCUUCGGGUUGUAAACUUCUUUGAUCGGGGACGAAAAAUGACGGUACCCGAGGAACAAGCCACGGCUAACUACGUGCCAGCAGCCGCGGUAAUACGUAGGUGGCAAGCGUUGUCCGGAAUUACUGGGCGUAAAGGGCGUGUAGGCGGGGAAGCAAGUCAGAUGUGAAAUUCCGAGGCUUAACCUCGGCGCUGCAUCUGAAACUGUUUCUCUUGAGUGCUGGAGAGGAAAGUGGAAUU
rnacentral:rRNA from 1 species